AGAGCUUGAAAACUUGAAUGCUUGGAGUGGAAUAUCUGUUCUCUUCCUUGCUACAGUCCUCUGUGGCUAUUUAAGCCAAUCCCCACGGAAACUAGCCGUUACUCUGCUUUUUCUGGCCGUUCUGCACACUCUGCGCAGCCUGACAAUAUGACUGUUGGUGGGUUGGAGUCGACUCGCGCGAUCAGGAGUCGACUCGGCUGUAGCAGGAGUCGACUCACGCUUUUCCGGAGUCGACUCGGCAACUGUUCCAAAUUUGAAUUAAAAUUGCCGUCUUGACUGGGAGUCGACUCGUCUUGACCUGGAGUCGACUCGCCAACUUCUGGAGUUGACCUGGCAAUUUUUGGAGUCGGCUCAUCCACUGAAGUCCGUGGAUCCAAAUUUGAAUUUUGUCCACUCGAGUCGACUCGACUGUCUUGGGAGUCGACUCGAAUCUCAGAGCCCGAACUCUCGAUUCUCUGUCGUUUGGUUCAUGCAGUCUUGGAGUCGACUCGAACCUCCUUGGAGUCGACUCGGCUCUCAGUUUCCGAAAGUUGGUCUUCUGCCUUUUGACGUGAAGCU
rnacentral:lncRNA from 1 species